GCAUAACUGAAACUUGGUGGGAUAAUACGCAUGAUUGGAACACAGAGCUCGAAGGAUACAACUUAUUUAAAAAAAACAGGCUUAAUAAAAGGGGAGGAGGUGUUGCAUUGUAUGUAAGGAAAAUAUAUACCACCACAGAGAUUAAUCUUUCAGAUAAUGGAAGCCCUGUAGAAACCGUUUGGGUGAAAAUACAAGGAGAGAGCAACACAAAGGAUACUGUUGUAGGAGUUUAUUAUAGACCCCCUGGACAAACAGAAUAUAUGGAUGAACUAUUUAUAUAUCAGAUGGCCAAGCUCUCGGGGAAACACGACCUAGUCAUUAUGGGAGAUUUUAACUAUCCGGACAUUUGUUGGGAAUCUCUCUCUGGCAAAAGNCAUGGGUCCAAUAAAUUCUUAUCCUCUCUGGCAGAUAACUUCAUUUUCCAAAGGAUUGAGGAAAAAACAAGGGGGUCUGCUAUCUUGGACCUAAUCCUUACCAACAGGGAGGAAAUGGUUGAGGAAGUAAGGGUGACUGGGACCCUGGGUGGCAGUGACCAUGCUAUCAUUGAGUUUUGCAUAACAAAAGGAGGAAGAUCUGAGAGGACUCGGACUUCAAGGUUAGAUUUCAGAGGAGCAGAUUUUGAUGGACUCAGAAGGAGGGUAGGAAGGAUNCAUUGGCUGGAUGUCUUAAAGGACAGAAAUGUCCAGGAAGGAUGGGAAAUUUUGAGAAAGGAGAUUCUAGAGGCACAAUCUUUAACAAUUCCUAAAAGAAAAAAGAAUGGCAAGCAUCUAAAGAGACCAGGGUGGAUGAACCCUGAACUUAAUAACUUGCUAAAAAGAAAAAAAGAAAUGUUUAAAAAAUGGAAAGAGGGGGACAUAUCAAAAGAAGAAUAUAAUGCAAUCUGCAGGAACUGCAGGAUAAGUGUCAGACAGGCUAAAGCUAAAAAUGAAUUGAGGAUUGCAAGAGAGGCCAAAAACAAUAAAAAAGGNUUUUGGGGGUAUGUCAGAAGCAAAAGAAAAGUCAAAGAAGCUAUA
rnacentral:lncRNA from 1 species